UUUCACACUGCAAGACACUGAGUCACAGACACAUCCAGAUAUUUAUGUUAAAUAUAUCUUUGAUAAUUUACAUAUUGUGAUUGCCACAUAUGUGAACAAGCACCAAUUUGCUUUAUUGCCAUUAUGUUCCUACUUCUCUUGUACUGCUUGCAAUUAUAUCCUGCUUCUACAACUUUCUGCUCCUGAAACCCAGCCUGGAAAUAUUCUCUUGUUCUACCUCAUUGUUUCCUGUUACCACGCCCUCUUGUUUAGCUCUCGUCUUGUCCUUGUUCCUCUAAUUGUGUUCACCUGGAUCUCAGGUGCUUUCCUCCCUAUUUAUUAUGUUCUCUGCCCUUUUGUCUUUGUCAAGUCAAGUCAAGUCACCUUUAUUUAUAUAGCUCUUUAAACAAAACAGAUUGUGUCAAAGCAACUGAACAACAUUAAUUAGGAAAACAGUGUCAAUAAUGCAAAAUGACAGUUAAAGGCAGUUCAUCAUUGAAUUCAGUGAUGUCAUCAUCCAGCUCAGUUCAGUUUAAAUAGUAUCUUUGCAAUCAUUUGCAAUCAAGUCAACGAUAUCCCUGUAAAUAAAGUGUCCCCGACUAAGCAAGCCAGAGGUGACAGCGGCAAGGAACCAAAACUCCACCGGUGACAGAAUGGAAAAAAAACCUUGGGAGAAACCAGGCUCAGUCAGGGGGCCAGUUCUCCUCUGGCCAGAGGAAACCAGCAGUUCAUGUCACGGUUCAUGGGUCUGUGCAUUCAUCUUGCGUCUCUGUCUGAUUGUGUCCGAUUAUUCUAUUGAAUUUCGUACUUCAGCCGCGGAGUGUGGCUGGAAUUCUGAGGCACAGUGGGACCUGUUUUUACACGGACUUUCGGACACCAUCAAGGAUGAGAUUUAUUCCUCGGAUUUACCCACGGGGGUGGAUAGGCUCAUAGAGCAGGCCAUUCGUGUGGAUGCCAGAUUAAGGAGGCAUGGCCAGCAGAAGACACUACGGAGAAUCCCUGACGUCACUCAUCAUAGUAACCUGUCAUCAGUCACUGGUGAGAGUGAGUUCUCUUUUUCAGAUCCCGAGCCCAUGCAGAUGGGCAGGUCUCGUCUUUCACAGCAGGAGAAGCAGAGAUGCAGGGAGAAAGGUUUGUGCUUGUACUGUGGAGCCUCCGGUCACAUCGUUCUGCAGUGUCCAGUAAAAGCCAGUGCCCACCAGUAGCUACUGACGGGUGGAGGAACUUUAAAUAAAUCCUCUUUUUCAGUCACCCAUCUACCGGUAAGGCUGAUAUUACAUUCAUUAACUUUUGACUGUGAGGCUUUAGUGGAUUCGGGAGUGGAGGGUAAGUUUUUAGACAUUAAUGUUG
ensembl:lncRNA